UACGAUUUGAUGUCAGGUGUCACCUCCAGC
rnacentral:piRNA from 1 species